GGUUUACCUGUGUGACUGCGUACCUUUUGUAUAAUGGGUCAGCGACUUAUAUUCUGUAGCAAGGUUAACCGAAUAGGGGAGCCGGAGGGAAACCGAGUCUUAAUUGGGCGUUAAGUUGCAGGGUAUAGACCCGAAACCCGGUGAUCUAGCCAUGGGCAGGUUGAAGGUUGGGUAACACUAACUGGAGGACCGAACCGACUAAUGUUGAAAAAUUAGCGGAUGACCUGUGGCUGGGGGUGAAAGGCCAAUCAAACCGGGAGAUAGCUGGUUCUCCCCGAAAGCUAUUUAGGUAGCGCCUCGUGAAUUCAUCUCCGGGGGUAGAGCACUGUUUCGGCUAGGGGGCCAUCCCGGCUUACCAACCCGAUGCAAACUGCGAAUACCGGAGAAUGUUAUCACGGGAGACACACGGCGGGUGCUAACGUCCGUCGUGAAGAGGGAAACAACCCAGACCGCCAGCUAAGGUCCCAAAGUCAUGGUUAAGUGGGAAACGAUGUGGGAAGGCCCAGACAGCCAGGAUGUUGGCUUAGAAGCAGCCAUCAUUUAAAGAAAGCGUAAUAGCUCACUGGUCGAGUCGGCCUGCGCGGAAGAUGUAACGGGGCUAAACCAUGCACCGAAGCUGCGGCAGCGACACUGUGUGUUGUUGGGUAGGGGAGCGUUCUGUAAGCCUGUGAAGGUGUGUCGUGAGGCAUGCUGGAGGUAUCAGA
rnacentral:rRNA from 1 species